rnacentral:lncRNA from 1 species
GAUUUGUAAUUUUAAAUCUUUCUGAAUUAUCAUCAGAACAGUUUCACUAAUAUAUAAUCACCUCAUCAUGGUCUUAUCCUGAUUAAUAUUCUAUCCGCAAAAUCAGUCACCUAUUCUCAAUUUAUUUCACAAAUUAUUUGGUAGAAUCUGUGUGUUUACGGCACUUGGGUUGCACUUGGGGCGUGAAAAUGGGAUCGUGUUUCGGUCACAUAACUAGUUUUCAAGGAAGCUCCAGCAGGAAUCCUGUCAUUCAUAUGUCUACAUUCAAUCCAAGAACGGACGAAGUGGAGCUUAAAUUCUUGCUAGCAGAGUCGCAGUAUGCAGAGGGAGCUAGACCCUUCAGGACCUCAUCAAGUGGAGUCCCUUUCAUGAAACGCGCUCGCUCAAUUUUAUCUUGGGAGCAAUUGAAGGCUUCUAGAAAGAAGUUACAAAAGAUGGUACUUCGGCAAAAUGAAACGAUAGAUUUGCGCCAUUUGAAACCAGAAACGGCCCCCUCAAAGGAUAUGAUUCUUACUUUGGAUGCGAAACAGCUAUUGAAAAUGAAAUCUGGAGUAUUGACAAAUCAUUAUCUGGCACUAGACUCGCCUCCAAGUUCCCUCGACCUGGAGUGGGAAAAUGAAGGUUUAUCAGCAACCAGUUGUGUUCAGAGUGACUAUGCAACGACACUUGCAACCAUAUCUUCCAAUGAUCUGUCGAGCGACCCCAGUGACCGGAGCUCUAUCGAGUCGUUGGAGUGGGAUCUCUGUAUGAACCAUUAUUCUAACGCGUCCUAUGAUGGAAAGUGUCGCAUGACGCAGCUCCAAGACUUUAGUGUACAACCUUUGAAACAGUCAAACAAAGAAAGAUGACAGAUAGAGAGCACCUUGUAAAGGUUUUUAAUUUUAGCCAAACAUGCAAGACUUAAGAGCUCUAGUCUUUAUGUGCCAUGAAAUGAACGUAUGGAGGUUUCAUCAGUUUUCAACCGUCAAUAGGUAAGUAAUUUCUCUUUUAUAUAGUUUUUUGCCGUAGCUAUAUCUAUUGAUAAGUGGAAGUUGCAGAACUUGCAUCUUGAUUGUGAUAUCUCU